AAACAUGUAAAAAAGUUGUUAAAAAUGACGGUUUCCAGUUGUUUUGGGUUGAUUCUCUUGUUCACUUUGUUUGAAUGGUUUGCUCAUAGGGCAGGGGAGAUGUCAUCACGGUCCUAACCUCAUUGCUUUCAUUGUUCCUAAGAAAAGAGCAUCACAAGGUGGUGGACCAUAUUUCUGUGUUCUGUAGGCUAGGGAAGGUGG
rnacentral:lncRNA from 1 species